rnacentral:rRNA from 1 species
UACGGGGGGGGCAAGCGUUGUUCGGAAUUACUGGGCGUAAAGGGCUUGUAGGCGGCCAACUAAGUCCGACGUGAAAUCCCCAGGCUUAACCUGGGAACUGCGUCGGAUACUGGAUGGCUUGAAUUCGGGAGAGGGAUGUGGAAUUCCAGGUGUAGCGGUGAAAUGCGUAGAUAUCUGGAGGAACACCGGUGGCGAAGGCGACAUCCUGGACCGGUAUUGACGCUGAGGCGCGAAAGCCAGGGGAGCAAACGGG